rnacentral:rRNA from 1 species
GUGGGGGAUAUUGCACAAUGGGGGAAACCCUGAUGCAGCAAUGCCGCGUGAGGGAAGAAGGUCUUCGGAUUGUAAACCUAAGUUGUCAGGGACGAACAAAUGACGGUACCUGAAGAGAAAGCUCCGGCUAACUACGUGCCAGCAGCCGCGGUAAUACGUAGGGAGCGAGCGUUGUCCGGAUUUACUGGGUGUAAAGGGUGCGUAGGCGGGAUGGCAAGUUAGAUGUGAAAUACCGAGGCUUAACUUCGGGGCUGCAUUUAAAACUGUCGUUCUUGAGUGAAGUAGAGGCAGGCGGAAUUCCUAGUGUAGCGGUGAAAUGCGUAGAUAUUAGGAGGAACACCAGUGGCGAAGGCGGCCUGCUGGGCUUUAACUGACGCUGAUGCACGAAAGCAUGGGGAGCAAACAGGA